rnacentral:lncRNA from 1 species
AAAAACAAACAUUUUUUUUCUAAGUAAAAAAGGCGCAGAUUGGUGGUAGAUCAAUUGAGUUCCAGAGGGACAAUUCACUAUCGUAAGUUGUUUCUUCCGAAAUCGUUGAUGAAGAUGAUCCAGUUUCCGGUGAACUAGAAGAUGGUCCAGUUUCUGAUGAACUUUCUGAACUGUAUUCACUAUCCUUAAUUUUCUUUUCCUCUUCCUCCUCGUUGUUGCGGUUCCUUUUGCAUGCAUUUAUCAAUCUGCUUAAUUGUUCAGAUCUUUCUCUCUGCAUAACUCCUCCUCCGGAUUUCAGCUUCAAUUUUAAGCAUUCUGUUAUUCCGUUGAAAGCAUAAAGUGAUGCUGAGAACUUCCUCUCGUAAUUCAUCCUCCUCAUAGCUUCACUUAGCAUCGAUGACUCGUCUCCAUAAAUCAUCCCCUCUUCCAUUAUCUCUGAUGAAUUAAUCUCUUCAAAUGGUGAAUAGUAACAUGACGAUCCAAUUUCGUCAACAAAUUGAAAGUCAAUUGGCUCUACCUCUACAUCUCCUAUAUCAGUAUUGUUUUCUUCUUCAAUCUCUUCUUCUGAGUCUACUUUCACAAUAUUAUUAAUCUCUCCAGCAAUCGAGUUUUCAUCGCUUUUCACAGGCUGAAUUACACUAUAAUCGUUUACAGCCAAGCAUGUCUCCAAGGUGUUUGUGAAAUUGCUUACGUUAAUUGCACUCAUAUUACUGAUCAUGUUGUUUUCAGUAAUCAGAUCUUCGGGAUCCUUGAGAUACUCCAUAUACUGCAAAUCCGAAAAAUAAGCUUCUUCUUCUUUGAAUUCUUCUCCCUGUUUGUCCUGAUCAUGAAUUUCCACAGGCUCAGAAGAAUCAGAAGAAGAAGAAGAAGAAGCAGCCGCAGCAGCAGCGGCGGCUAAGGAAUUAUUUCUAGCUUUGAGCCUAUUAAUAAGAAGAUUAGUGAUUUUCGAAGGAAGAGCUGGAGUAGAAGAAGAAGAUGAAGAACAGGG